GCAAUGGUGGUUCAGUGAUAGAAUGUUCACCUGCCAUGUGGGAUACCUGGCUUUGAUUCUUGGCCAAUGCA
rnacentral:tRNA from 1 species